CGCGGGUCCCAGCCUGUCACCCCAAAUAGGAUAAUAUCUGCACCUGGUAACAAGCAAAAGAGAAGCCAGGAACCGCCGUACUACAGAAGGAAACAAUCAGCGCUGAGC
rnacentral:lncRNA from 1 species